GCACGGUGAUAUAUAUGUUGAUCGAGGACAAUUAGUUUUCAUGCUUCAGAAAGUCAAUAGAGAUGAGCAGAACCAGGAAAUUAGGAGCUUCUCACUUUUAUAUUUUCUGCAUGAUAGUUAAAUAUUGAUUGCAUAACAUGCUGUUGUUCCUUAUUUAUCAUUUAUUUGCUUAUGUCAACAAGCUUUUGGAUUUAAUUUUGCAGUUGCGAAAUUUUGUGGAAAUGCAGAGCUAUGCAGGCUCACUGAGCAAGUUGUCUUUUCAGACCCAUAUAAGGUGGCCCAAUAUAAUCGAUGGACUUCGCCACACCUUGACCAUGAUGUUGAGGCAGUUCGGGAUGAUGACAUUUUAAAGAUUGAAGUAGCUGAAUUGAAGUCUAUGUAUAAUUGUGUUUCAACACGCUUCUCUUAUCAUGUUUUCCUUUUGUUUUUAGUCCGUGAACCUUAUUUGGUUUUCUUUUUCCUUGUAUACUUAGUGCUGCCUAAAUCUUGUCACUUAGGUUCUGUGAGAGGGCACAAGCUUUAAUUCAUGGAGAUCUGCAUACAAGUUCUGUCAUGGUGACUAUUGAUUCAACACAGGUCAUUGAUCCAGAAUUUGCAUUUUAUGGACCUAUGGGGUUUGACAUUGGGGCUUUUUUGGGAAAUUUGAUUUUGGCCUUCUUUUCCCAAGAUGGACAUGCUGAUAAAGAUAACGAUCGCAUGGUAUGCAUGAGAAAAGAUUAUAAAUAUUUAUAUUUUCAUUUAUCACAGGCUUAUAAUCUUUUUAGAUUUUCUGUAGCAUGUAGUAUGAUUUGAAGUAGAAAUGCAUGUAAGAGUAAGACAACUAUUGGAAAUUCCUUCAACAUCCUUCUUUUUAUUGCUUCUGAGGCAUUAUUUUCUUCCUUCAAUUCUGUGUCGCAGUCUAUAUUAGGUUUUGAGCUAUAAACCCAUGUUUCAAUUUCAAAUGUGGUGUCAAUAUAUUAUGGCUAAUGAGCCAGGUUUUGCAUUAUAUUGCCUGGAAUCACUUUGCUAAUAUUUAUGCUAAGAUAUGACUGAUGUGUUAAUAAAUUUAUGCUAAUAUUUGAAUGAUGAAUAAUGAUGAUAUCUUAUUGAUUAUUUUUGGGACCAAUUGAAUCAUUGGUGUCUUACACCAUGUUUUAACCAAAGUAAAAGAUCAUUGUGAUGUAAAAUUUUGAAGUUAAAAUAUAGAUAUUGAAACACAAAAAAGGCAAGUAGAUAUUUGAAGAAGUUUCAUAGCAUUGCAUCAGAGCAUCAUUUUAUCUUAGCAACAUAUGCAAGCUUGUUUUUGAUAUUCUGUCAUGUGGACAUAUGAGAUGAGAACUUAAAUAGCAGAAGAAACUACAAGGAAGCAAUUGGCUAACAACAAGGACGUAAAUAGAGGGGUGUCAAUAAUGUCCCACCAUAAUUCUGUUUUACUAUCAAGUAAGCUGAUAUAUAGAUGAGUUUUUUGGGUUUUACAGAGGCUACUAUGAUGAUAAGAGAAAAGUUGAUUGCUAUCUGGCUAAAAACCAGAGUUGGUGGAACUUGAUGGGGAUCAUGGCCCUGAAAAUUUCGUGAGUUUCUCAGUCGUUAUGUUGUUCUGAAAAGUCAUUAAGAAUUUUGGUAAAAAGAAGUAAAACUUCAGAAAUUUAGCAUACGUAAGCUUGAUAUUUGUGAGCUACCCUGGUGGAAAUUUUGAUCAUGGAGUAGUUUGGAGGUAAUUUUUGCAGCACAGUUAUCUUCUUUCUUUAAUAUUGACAUUUUCUGAUACUUGUGACUCUUAAUAGGUUGCUCAGUUUGCUUUCCAAAUGAAAGUUUAACUGCGACGACCAAUAUUCCCUUUAUAACUAUUAUUAGUAUUCUCACAGUGAUAUCAUGUUGCAGGUAUAUAAACAGUGGAUUUUGAGGACGAUUGAAGAAACUUGGAAUCUUUUUCAUCAUAAGUUUGUGUCUCUCUGGAAUGAAAACUUUGAUGGUCAUGGUGAGGCAUAUCUUGUAGAUAUAUAUAAUAAGCCAGAACUGCAGCUUCUUGUCCAGAAAAAGUACAUGACUGAUUUAUUUCAUGAUGCUCUUGGAUUUGGUGCUGCUAAGAUGAUAAGGUACUUCUUGUUGAGUUCUAUUUCAAUCUUGCUUUCAGUCUUAUUUCAAGUUUCUCAGUUGUGUAAUUUGUUGCUCAUGUAUGUUAGCAAAAUGUGGGACUGUAGGACUUCUCUGUUUUACAUUGUGAGUAUAUAAGUAGUUAUAUACCACACACAAGGGGAUAAUGUAUAUAUUCUGAGUCAUGCCUUUUAUGUUCCUGUCAUUCUUCAGUCUACAUGCCGAAAAGCUUAGACCUUUUGUUAGCGUAAAUAGUGGAGGAUCUAGAUAUCUAUAAUUUUUCAUGCCUGUAGAAGAAUGCUAUAUGAAUAUUUGGCUUCUCUGGUUCUUUUUCUGAUUCAAUACACCUUCAUUAUACUAUUUACUUCAAUUACAAUAGAUGCAGUUAUGAAUCAUAUAAUCUGUCUACUAAUAAAGCUCAUUUUCAUAGUCAUAAUUAAUCUGAAACAGAUUUGGAAGAGUUAUACGGUAGCUUUCUUGUUAAACUCUCGUUGAGUUUUAGUUUCAGCAGUCCUCAGAAGUAAAAGAUUGAUUACUUCAAGUUGGAGUGUUUGUGUUUUCUGCUUUCACUACUCCUUGGCUGGCUUUCAGGAGAAUCGUUGGGGUAGCUCAUGUUGAAGAUUUUGAAUCAAUUAGUGAUGAAACCAAGCGGGCAUUGUGUGAGCGUCGUGCCCUGGACUGUGCCAAAACAAUUCUCAAGGAAAGGCGCAAGUUUGAAACAAUAAGCCAAGUCAUUUCAGUCGUCCAGGAGAUUUCAGCUCCCUAACAGUUGUAGAAAAACACACACACACCAAAAAAAAAAAGCGGUAAAAGAAAAAGUCAUUUCUCCUGUUCAGGGUUCCUAGAGCGAAUGUCUCAUUGUGUAUCACUAGUUGUCAUAUCCUGAAAGUUUCUUGCCCCAUGUUGAUUCAGAUGUGAGUUGAGGUUUAUUAGUGUGUAUAACUAGAUGUAGAAGAGAAUUAUGCUUGCCAUGGUUUUGGUAAUGCUUUAAAUUAUGAGCCCUGGAAUAAAAUCUGCACGUUAUAUUUUGGUGCCUUUGUAAUGAGAUUGCUUUUUAUCACCUCGUUCACCAUUUGAUUGUUUCUACUCCCCUUUCUCUCAUAUUUACUAAUUUCCCACAAGUUCGAUCAUAUUCUUGCCUUGAGCAUUCUUUCAUGCUCAAGAAACUUCAUGUGUAGUAGUAGUAGUAGUAAGUAGUGGAUGGUUGAUGUCCCUUUGCUAGUCUUGUGGUUUGCUUGUUAUGUGACAAGCUCCCAUUGAUAUAUCUGGCAAGACAUUUAUAGUGGUUAAUGCAUUAUUGCAUUAAUUAGUAGAACUCAGUGUCACAUAAUUUGCACUGAAACUCAUUUUUUUUAAAGCAAAAAAUUUGAUAAGCAUAUCAUCCAAAAAUCAAUUUUUUUUGCUUUAAUAAAUAUAAAAAGGGGCCACGUGGGUCCCGGUCAUCGCUCGUCAUGCUUUGCAACCUUAGAUGGAAUCACCUGAAGGGCAGUGCUGGGCAAUUCCAAAAAAUUCGGGCUUAUCUCUGUCGCACGAAUCCGCUUUCUGCUCCACCUCGGUCUACUUCGUGAAUGGGCAUCACGCUGUGGGCCCGACUGUACACUACCUGGAAUAAGGGAGGCUUUAAAAACGGGUAGAUUGAAACAUCAAGUUUUAUUCCUCGACCGUGGAACACAAGUUUUAAGCUAAUUUGAUUCCGCUACCGUCGACCUAUCAUUUUAAGAACCCGGUCAGGUUCACUGAAUCGGCCCGCAGCGGUCUCCUCGUUGAUCGGCAUUCUUUCUCUCUUCGUGUAUCUAUGGCGGCGGCGGCGGCGGCAGCCGAUGGGUUUCGAGCUCUGGACGAGGCAUCCUUGGUGGAGUACAUCAAGGCUACGCCGGCUCUCCGCGCCCAGUUGGGCGAACGGUUGGAGGGCCUCGCCAUUAAGGAAGUCGGCGAUGGCAAUCUCAACUUCGUCUACAUCGUCGCUGGCCCCGCCGGAUCCUUUGUCAUCAAGCAGGUAGUUUUUCUGAGUGUUUGAUUUAGCUUUUGUGCAUUGUUUGCUGUAUGUGGACUUCAUGGCCACUGGGGUUUCGCUUUCGGACCGUAUGAUCGUGGCUAGAUCUGAAAGGAGGAGGGACUGAUGCUUGAGAAGAUAAGGUUUCCGAUGGUAUGAAUAAUUGCUUGUUCGCACUUAUUCAUUGAAGUAAGGUAUAGUGUUUGGAAAAUGGAUGUUGAAGUAGAGGAAAUGCAUAAAAGCAAAGCGCAUAGGAUACAGGCAAAGCCCAGUGAUGUUUCCUUGAAUACUACGACUUCUGCACGAUAUAGAUGCAGGAUUCUUCUGGAGGUCCAGCCCCUAAUAUCCAACGCUGAGAUUGCUAGUCUAUCAAAAAUUACAGUGGGUGUGUAAAACAGAGAUGUCUCCUUUGAGAGUCUGGAUGGCUGAAAGUUGUUGGUGAGACAGAGAUAAAAGGGAAAAUAGAAACUUAAGUUGCAACCAUGCUUGUUAACUGGAAUAUUUUUCUUAACAUCGAUUUCUCCACUCCAUGGAUAUUCCGUUCCUAGGAUCUCUAAGAUAUGAAAUUCUUGGUUGAUCUAUGGGAACAAUAUUCAAUUCUCAGUAGAAUAGAAGGUGUGUUUUAGUGUGAAUGACAAAACAUUAUUUAGAGGCAAUAGGAAAGAAGAAACUUGCGAGAGAUUGAAAUUUGAAGAGAGGAAACUGCCUUAUUUGUUUAAGGCUAAUGUCAUAUAUUUAGAGAAGUAGAGAAGUUCCAAGCAUGAGGCCAUGAAUUAUAUUAGGAGGAAAAUCCAAUCGUAAUAUUCUUGAAAGAUGGUAAUAUAAUGUGUUUCAUCAAGAUGAGAGUCUGAGUAACAUUGUUGGGUUCGUAGUUGUCGAUGAUUGGUAGACUGUACUUUCAUGUUUCUUGCGACCACACUCCUAAAACUUAUUAUAUACUGUUAUAUCCAUUUGCUUGACUUUCUUAUAAAGAUUUAAUUGCUUGGUUGAUGUUCAUGUCAAAAUAAUGGUUUAUAUGCAUGUUGCUGAAGAUGCUACAUGGCGUUGACGUGCUAGCUUUUGAAAUGUAUCUCUGCUUAAUGACUACUUUAUUUGGUUUUAUAUGAAUGACAUGGCUUGCUUAGAACUGAAAGUGAAAAGUCUUUCAGUUUUUCUGUGUCAAACAUUGUUGUUCCUCCCUUUGUAGUGUAAGAACAAAACCAUUUCUUGUAUUUGAUUUAUUUUUCUUCGAAUAUUUCUUCUGCAUAAUGUAUCACUUAUAUGGAAUUUUGCUUUUUGUUUAAAAAUUAUAUGAUAUUAGCUGUAUCCUCCUUUCUACUUUUCUGAUCUGAAUCAAGUUGAUCUCAUUUGUCUGCAUUGCAAACAGGCUAUUCCAUAUGUUCGCUGCAUUGGUACUUCAUGGCCUCUGACGAAGGAGCGUGCUUAUUUUGAGUCACUAGCCUUAAAAGAGCAUGGUAGUCUGUGCCCAAAUCAUGUGCCACAAGUUUACCAUUUUGACCGACCGAUGUCUUUGAUUGCUAUGCGUUACUUGGAGCCUCCGCACAUAAUUUUGCGGAAAGGGUUAAUUGCUGGAAUUGAAUAUCCACUGCUUGCACAACACAUGUCGGACUUUUUGGCGAGAACACUUUUCUUCACAUCGCUUCUUUAUCAUGCCACAUUAGAGCAUAGACAUGCAGGUACAAUUGUUAAUUAUAAAUCAUGACUAUAAUGAGCGAAUAUUGUUUGAAGUAUUUUAUUAUUUAGUUCAUACUGUUCAUUUUGCUUGAACUUUAUAACUUCGUUUGUAUGCAUCUAGAAACAAGAUUUUAUUGUUUAUUUUGCUUGAUCUUUAGAAGUUUCUCAUUGUGUACCUAGGAACAAGAUGUUUAAGUUGAUGAAUUUAAAAAUUUUGAGAUUCUUUAUCUCCUUAUUAUCUUGUCUUUUUCAAUUCUUUUACUUGUAAUUAUCAAAUUCUUGACAGAUUUUUUAAGGCCCUUCUAUGUUUUUUUUUCUUUUGCUUCUUUUGGUGUCAUCAUUUGCACGGUGAUAUAUAUGUUGCUUGUUUUGGUGAUAUAUAUGUUGAUCGAGGACAAUUAGUGUUCUUGCUUCAAUAAGUCGUAGAGAUGAGCAGAACCAGGAAAUUAGGUGCUUCUCGCCAGCCACAUGCAUUCUGUCUUGCAACUAUAUCAUAUUAUUUUUCUAUUUUCUGUUUGAUAGAUAAAUAUUGAUUGCAUAACAUGCAGCUGUACCUUUUUUAUCAUUUAUUUGCUUAUGUUGACAAGCUUUUGAAUUUAAUUUUGCAGUUGCGGAAUUUUGUGGGAAUGCAGAGCUAUGCAGGCUCACUGAGCAAGUUGUCUUUUCAGACCCAUAUAAGGUGGCUCAAUAUAAUCGGUGGACUUCGCCACACCUUGACCAUGAUGUUGAGGCUGUUCGGGAUGAUGACAUUUUGAAGAUUGAAGCAGCUGAAUUGAAGUCCAUGUAUACUUGUGUUUCAACAUGCAUCUCUUAUCACGUUUUCCUUUUGUUUUUAGUCCAUGGACCUCAUUUGGUUUUCUUUUUCCUUGUAUACCUACUGCUGCCUAAAUCUUGU
rnacentral:lncRNA from 1 species